GGCGGGUCUACGGAGGCCUCUUUAGGCCACAGAGCAACGUAAAGCCUAGGCCUGCAGAGACUGCUCAGUCACAGUUGAAGGAGACCUACUGAGUCCUGAGGACAACCAACAAAGGCCUUAACGGCACAGAAGGAAGUCCUGUCUUCUGGGAUUGAGUUUGGUAAUCCACCCCUUGGAGCUAAACACAGUAAGAGGAGCCCACCCUUUUCUUACUAUACAGAGAAGAGUAAAACACAGUCACCUUUACACAGCAUCUGAGUGGACCUAACACAGGGCAGUGAAAGUGAUGCAGAACAAACUUCAAAGCCUCCAGGAGCACACGUGACCUCAGGAAAUGAACAGAAACAACCUAGCUCUCCAAAGAGGAGUAUUUCAUUCAACUCCGAACUGCUCACACAUUAUGCAACUGUGAACAAGGCUCAUUUAAAAAUCCAUGAAGCUUCUAAUGUUUUCACCACAAAAUAUAUUAAGUAUUGAGGUGCUGGAUAUGUUGACUAGUUUGAUUUAAUUAUUCCACAUUAUAUGCAUAAAUAGUAACAUCACCUUGUUCCCCAUAAAAUUAUACAAUUAUAAAUUGUCAAUUUGCAAUUAAAAC
rnacentral:lncRNA from 10 species